GCCUACGGGGGGCAGCAGUGAGGAAUAUUGGUCAAUGGCCGAGAGGCUGAACCAGCCAAGUCGCGUGAGGGAAGACGGCCCUACGGGUUGUAAACUUCUUUUGUCAGGGAGCAAUUGAGUCCACGUGUGGGCUUAGCGAGAGUACCUGAAGAAAAAGCAUCGGCUAACUCCGUGCCAGCAGCCGCGGUAAUACGGAGGAUGCGAGCGUUAUCCGGAUUUAUUGGGUUUAAAGGGUGCGCAGGCGGAUUUUUAAGUCAGCGGUCAAAUCGUGGGGCUCAACCCCAUCCAGCCGUUGAAACUGGGGG
rnacentral:rRNA from 1 species